rnacentral:rRNA from 1 species
UAAUACGUAGGGAGCGAGCGUUGUCCGGAAUUACUGGGCGUAAAGGGUGCGUAGGCGGCACUGCAAGUCAGAUGUGAAAUCCCCGGGCUUAACUCGGGGGGUGCAUUUGAAACUGCGGUGCUUGAGUGCAGGAGAGGAAAGCGGAAUUCCUAGUGUAGCGGUGAAAUGCGUAGAUAUUAGGAGGAACACCAGUGGCGAAGGCGGCUUUCUGGACUGUAACUGACGCUGAGGCACGAAAGCGUGGGGAGCAAACAGG